rnacentral:rRNA from 1 species
GUGUCAGCAGCCGCGGUAAUACAGAGGGUGCAAGCGUUAAUCGGAUUUACUGGGCGUAAAGCGUACGCAGGCGGUUUGUUAAGCGAGAUGUGAAAGCCCCGGGCUCAACCUGGGAACUACAUUUCGAACUGGCAAACUAGAGUGUGAUAGAGGGUGGUAGAAUUUCAGGUGUAGCGGUGAAAUGCGUAGAGAUCUGAAGGAAUACCGAUGGCGAAGGCAGCCACCUGGGUCAACACUGACGCUCAUGUACGAAAGCGUGGGGAGCAAACAGGAUUAGAUACCCCCGUAGUCC